UAUACGGGUGGGGACAGUGUCUCAUUUUAUUCAUAUUUAGUAUUUGCUGAUAAAAAAAAAAAGAAUAAAGUAGUGUCUAAAAUUCUAAAGAGUUGCUAAAGUAGUGGGUAGAGGAUUUCUAGAUAGUGUUGUAGCGGCAAAUGGCAAAUGAAGUUAUAGUAGAAGGAAAAAGGAAGAAUGUAUAAUUGUUAAAUUAGAUCUUGAGAAGAAUUAUGGUUUAGAGAAUUGAGAUUUUCUAUUUUAUACGUUGAAAAGGUUAGGAUUUGGGACGAAGUGGAUCAAAUGGAUUAAAGUUUGUCCGAAAUCAU
rnacentral:lncRNA from 1 species